GCCCCAAUCAUGAUCUCUCAAGAGAAAUUAUUAUUCAAAAAAUUUAUGCUCGGUUUUAUCUCGAUAAUCGCUCCAUGCUCGAUUCUUCUUGUACUGGCUCUUUCAUGAUGAAGACUGUUGAAUUCAAAUGGGAUUUAUUGGAAAGAAUUAAAUGCAACUCUGAAGAUUGGGAUCUUGAUGUCUACUACACAACCUUCUUCUUGUAGACGUUGUUGGGCCUCCAAGUGUAGAGGUUUGUAGGACAGUAGCAAAUUUCCCUCAAGUGGAUGACCUAAGGUUUAUCAAUCCGUGGGAGGCGUAGGAUGAAGAUGGUCUCUCUCAAACAACCCUGCAACCAAAUAGCAAAGAGUCUCUUGUGUCCCCAACACACCCAAUACAAUGGUAAAUUGCAUUGGUGCACUAGUUCGGUGAAGAGAUGGUGAUACAAGUGCAACAUGGAUGAUAGAUAUAGGUUUUUGUAAUCUGAAAAUAUAAAACCAGAAAGGUAACUAAUGAUAAAAGUGAAAAAAAUAGUAUUGCAAUGCAUUGAAACAAGGCCUAUGGUUCAUACUUUCACUAGUGCAAGUUCUCUCAACAAUAAUAACAUAAUUGGAUCAUGUAACUAUCCCUCAACAUGCAACAAAGAGUCACUCCAAAGUCACUAGCGGAGAACAAACGAAGAGAUUAUUGUAGGGUACGAAACCACCUCAAAGUUAUCCUUUCUGAUCGAUCUAUUCAAGAGUCUGUAGUAAAAUAACACAAAGCUAUUCUUUCCAUUCGAUCUAUCCUAGAGUUCGUACUAGAAUAACACCUUAAGACACAAAUCAACCAAAACCCUAAUGCUGCCUAGAUACUCCAAUGUCACCUCAAGUAUCCGUGGGUAUGAUUAUACGAUAUGCAUCACACAAUCUCAGAUUCAUCUAUUCAACUAACACAAAGAACUUCAAAGAGUGCCCCAAAGUUUCUACCAGAGAGUCAAGACGAAAACGUGUGCCAACCCCUAUGCAUAAGUUCACGAGGUCACGGAACUCGCAAGUUGAUCACCAAAACAUACAUCAAGUGGAUCACGUGAUAUCCCAUUGUCACCACAGAUAAGCACAUGCAAGACAUACAUCAAGUGUUCUUAAAUCCUUAAAGACUCAAUCCGAUAAGAUAACUUCAAAGGGAAAACUCAAUUCAUCACAAGAGAGUAGAGGGGGAGAAACAUCAUAAGAUCCAACUAUAAUAGCAAAGCUCGUGAUACAUCAAGAUCGUGCCGAAUCAAGAACACGAGAGAGAGAGAGAGAGAGAUCAAACACAUAGCUACUGGUACAUACCCUCAGCCCCUAGGGAGAACUACUCCCUCAUCGUCAUGGAGAGCGUCGGGAUGAUGAACAUGGCCACCAGAGAGGGAUUCCCCCCUCUGGCAGGGUGCCGGGACGGGUCUAGAUUGGUUUUUGGUGGCUAGAGAGGCUUGCGGCGGCGGAACUCCCGAUCUAGGUUAUUUUCUGGAGGUUUCUGUAUUUAUAGGAAUUUUUGGCGUAGGUCUCACACCAAGAAGGUGCCCGAGUCAUCCACGAGGUAGGCCCACGCGCCCGGGGGCCCACCCUCGUGGAUGGCCCAGGACUCUUUUGGCCCAACUCUUUUACUCCGGGGUCUUCUUUUGGUCCAUAAAAAACGUUAAAAAUUGGCACAUCAAUUGGACUCCGUUUGGUAUUCCUUUUCUGUAAAACUCAAAAACAAGGAAAAAACAGAAACUGGCACUGGGCUCUAGGUUAAUAGGUUAGUCCCAAAAAUCAUAUAAAAUAGCAUAUAAUGCAUAUAAAACAUCCAAGGUUGAUAAUAUAAUAGCAUGGAACAAUAAAAAAUUAUAGAUACGUUGGAGACGUAUCAAGCAUCCCCAAGCUUAAUUCCUGCUCGUCCUCGAGUAGGUAAAUGAUAAAAAUAGAAUUUUUGAUGUGGAAUGCUACCUAACAUAUUUAUCAAUGUAAUUAUCUUAUCGUGGCAAGAAUAUUCAGAUCCAUAAGAUGCAAGAAAAAAGUUUAAUAUUGACAUAAAAAUAAUAAUACUCCAAUCAUACUAACUAAGCAAUCAUGUCUUCUCAAAAUAACAUGGCAAAAGAAAGUUCAUCCCUACAAAAUCAUAUAGUUUGGUCAUGCUCCAUUUUCGACACACAAGAAUGCUCUCAUCAUGCACAACUCCGAUGACAAGCCAAGCAAUUGUUUCAUACUUUAGUAAUCUCAAACUUUUUUCAACUCUCACGCAAUACAUGAGCGUGAGCCAUGGAUAUAGCACUAUGGGUGGAAUAUAAUAUGAUGAUGGGGGUUACGUGGAGAAGACAAAAAGGAGAAAGUCUCACAUUGACGCGGCUAAUCAACGGGCUAGGGAGAUGCCCAUCAAUUGAUGUCAAUGCAAGGAGUAGGGAUUGCCAUGCAACGGAUGCACUAGAGCUAUAAAUGUAUGAAAGCUCAACAAAAGAAACUAAGUGGGUGUGCAUCCAACUUGCUUGCUCACGAAGACCUAGGGCAUUUGAGGAAGCCCGCCGUUGGAAUAUACAAGCCAAGUUCUAUAAUGAAAAAUUCCCACUAGUAUAUGAAAGUGAAAAAACAAGAGACUCUCUAUCAUGAAGAUCAUGGUGCUACUUUGAAGCACAAGUGUGGAAAAAGGAUAGUAGCAUUGUCCCUUUUUUGCCUUUCUUUUUUGGCCUUUCCUUUUUAUUUGGCCUUUCUUUUUUUAUUUUUUCGGGACAAUGCUCUAUUAAUGAUGAUCAUCACACUUCUAUUUAUUUACAACUCAAAGAUUACAACUCGGUACUAGAACAAAGUAUGACUCUAUAUGAAUGCCUCCGGCGGUGUACCGGGAUGGGCAAUGAAUCAAGAGUGACAUGUAUGAUAAAUUAUGCAUGGUGGCUUGGCCACAAAUAUGAUGUCAACUACAUGAUCAUGCAAGGCAAUAUGACAAUGAUGAUGUGUGUCAUGAUGAACGGAACGGUGAAAGUUGCAUGGCAAUAUAUCUUGGAAUGGCUAUGGAAAUGCCAUAAUAGGUAGGUAUGGUGGUUGUUUUGAGGAAGAUAUAAGGAGGUUUAUGUGUGACGGAGUGUAUCAUAUCACGGGGUUUGGAUGCAACGGCAAAGUUUGCACCAAUUCUCGAGGUGAUAAAGGGCACUGCACGGUACCGAAGAGGCUAGCAAUGAUGGAAGGGUGAGAGCGCGUAUAAUCCAUGGACUCAACAUUAGUCAUAAAGAACUCACAUACUUAUUGCAAAAAUCUACAAGUCAUCAAAAACCAAGCACUGCGCGCAUGCUCCUAGGGGUAUAGAUUGGUAGGAAAAGUCCAUCGCUCGUCCCCGACCGCCACUCAUAAGGAAGGCAAUCAAAGAAACACCUCAUGCUUCAAAUUUGUCACACAACGGUUACCAUACGUGCAUGCUACGGGACUUGCAAACCUCAACACAAGUAUUUCUCAAAUUCACAAUUACUCAACUAGCAUGACUCUAAUAUCACCAUCUUUAUAUCUCAAAACAAUUAUCAAGUAUCAAACUUCUCAUAGUAUUAAAUGCACUUUAUAUGAAAGUUUUUAAUAUAUCCCUCUUGGAUGCCCAUCAUAUUAGGACUAAAUUCAUAACCAAAGCAAAAUACCAUGAUGUUUAGAGACUCUCAAAAUGAUAUAAGUGAAGCAUGAGAGUUCAUCUAUUUCUUCAAAAUAAAACCACCGCUGUGCUGUAAAAAGAUAUAAGUGAAGCACUAGAGCAAAUGACAAACUGCUCCGAAAGAUAUAAGUGAAGAUCAAUGAGUAGUCGAAUAAUUAUACAACUAUGUGAAGGCUCUCUAACAUUUAAUAAUUUAUGAUCUUGGUAUUUUAUUCAAACAGCAAGCAAAACAAAAUAAAAUAAAAUGACGCUCCAAGCAAAACACAUAUCAUGUGGUGAAUAAAAAUAUAGCCUCAAGUAAAGUUACCGAUGAACGAAGACGAAAGAGGGGAUGCCAUCCGGGGCAUCCCCAAGCUUAGGCUCUUGGUUGUCCUCGAAUAUUACCUUGUGGUGCCUUGGUCAUCCCCGAGCUUAGGCUCUUUCCACUCCUUAUUCCAUAGUCCAUCGAAUCUUUACCCAAAACUUGAAAACUUCACAACACAAAACUUAACAGAAAACUCAUAAGCUCCGUUAGUAUAAGAAAGCAAAUCACCACUUAGGUACUGUAAUGAACUCAUACUUUAUUUAUAUUGGUGUUAAAACUACUGUAUUCCAACUUCUCUAUGUUUCAUACCCCCUGAUACUAGCCAUAGAUUCAUCAAAAUAAGCAAACAACACACGAAAAACAGAAUCUGUCAAAAACAGAACAUUCUGUAGCAAUCUGUAUCAAACGGAUACUUCUGUAACCCACAAAAUUCUGAAAUAAAUUGGUGGACGUGAGGAAUUUAUCUAUUAAUCAUAUGCAAAAAGAAUCAACCUAAUCGCACCCUCCAGUACAAAAUGGCAGCUAAUCUCGUGAGCGCAAAAGUUUCUGUUUUUUACAGCAAGAUCGCAAAGACUUCACCCAAGUCUUCCCAAAGGUUCUACCUGGCACAAACACUAAUUAAAACAUAAAAACACAUCUAAACAGAGGCUAGAUGAAUUAUUUAUUACUAAACAGGAGCAAAAAGCAAAGGACAAAAAUAAAAUUGGGUUGCCUCCCAACAAGCGCUAUUGUUUAACGCCCCUAGCUAGGCAUGAUGAUUUUAAUGAUGCUCACAUAAAAGAUAAGAAUUGAAACAUAAAGAGAGAAUCAUUAAGAAUAUGACUAGCACAUUUAAGUCUAACCCACUUCCUAUGCAUAGGGAUUUUGUGAGCAAACAAGUUAUGGGAACAAGAAUCAACUUGCAUAGGAAGGUAAAACAAGCAUAGCUUCAAGAUUUUCAACACAUAGAGAGGAAACUUGAUAUUAUUGCAACUCCUACAAGCAUAUAUUCCUCCCUCAUAAUAAAUUUCAGUAGAAUCAUGAAUGAACUCAACAAUAUAACCAUCACAUAAAGCAUUCUUUUCAUGAUCCCCAAGCAUAUAAAUUUUAUUACUCUCCACAUAAGUGAAUUUCUUCUCAUGAAUAAUAGUGGGAGCAAACUCAACAAAAUAAUUACCAUGUGAGGCAUAAUCCAAUUGAAAACUAAAAUCAUGAUGAAAAGUUUCAUGGUUAUCAUUAUUCUUAAUACCAUACAAGUCAUCACAAUAAUCAUCAUAGAUAGCAACUUUGUUCUCAUAAUCCAUUGGAACCUCUUCCGAAAUAGUGGAAUCAUUACUAAAUAAAGUCAUGACCUCUCGAAAUCCACUUUUAUAAUUAUCACAAUAAGAUUCAACAUCCUCCAAAAUAGUGGGAUCAUCACUUCCUAAAGUUGACACUCUUCCAAACCCUCUUUCAUCAAUAUAAUCAUUAUAAAUAGGAGGCAUGCUAUCAUCAUAAUAAAUUUGCUCAUCAAAACUUGGGAGACAAAAAAUAUCAUCUUCAUCAAACAUAGCUUCCCCAAGAUUGUGGCUUUGCAUAUCAUUAGCAUCAUGGGUAUUCAAAGAAUUCAUACUAACAACAUUGCAAUCAUCCCAUCAUCCAAAUAUUUAGUGACAAACAUUUUAAUACAUUCUUCUUCUAAUAUUUUGGCACAAUUAUCGGAAUCCUUAUUUUCAUGAAAGACAUUAAAAAGAUGAAGCAUAUGAGGUACCCUCAAUUCCAAUUUUUUUUGUAGUUUUCUUUUAUAGACUAAACUAGUGAUAAAACAAGAAAGUAAAGAUUCGAUUGCAAGAUCUAAAGAUAUACCUUCAAGCGCUAACCUCCCCGGCAACGGCGCCAGAAAAGAGCUUGAUGUCUACUACACAACCUUCUUCUUGUAGACGUUGUUGGGCCUCCAAG
rnacentral:lncRNA from 1 species